rnacentral:lncRNA from 1 species
AAUACCCAGAUGUGUGCACUGGUGUGUGGACUUGGUGGAUAGAGCUGACCCGCCCACAGAAGACACUGGGAUCAUAGGCAUGUACCACCACACCCAGCUGUGUGUGGCCCCGUGGGCUGAGCACUGGACUUAGCGCAUGCUGGACAAGUCCUCUCCCAGCCUGGCUGCAGUCUCAGUCUCUAGGUUUAUCAUCACCGAUUGAACAUUUACCUAUGCUUCAAAAGACUUAAAUCAAGCUGGUGUUGUGUGCGAAGAGAAAGUACCACUUGAUCAAGCUGUCUAUAAAUACAGUGUGUCAUGACUCCAAGUAGAGAAGGAGAAGCCCAUGGAAGCCAAUCUGCAAUUUGGUGAACUCUCUUAGAAACGCAGUUCUUUCAGGCAGCCGAAGGAUUAUCUAAUUACCCAAACAACAGAGACUUCUCUCUGGUCCCUGAAGGAAACUCAUUGGGUUAAAGGUGGUCGGUCAUUGGCCUCUCUGGUCUUUUGGGAACAAAAUUGUUUGGGAAAUAAAGUUGAGUUGAUGUCAUUUUACC